rnacentral:lncRNA from 1 species
CUGAACAAUGAUGAAAUGGCUGAUGCUGACACCAAGACUGUUGAAGGAGAUAGUUAACCAGCAACAAUGAGAGACAUGAUAUUGUAUCAUAGUAAGAGCUGAUACUCCCAUGUAUUGAAUGUACUGAAAAGUGAUCACCGACAAUCCGAUAUAUGUAAUAUGUCAUAAUAGAAAAAAUAUGUAAGCAUGUAUAGGUCCUUGUGAACCAAGAACAAAGCAGCAAACAUCAAGUA